rnacentral:rRNA from 1 species
AUUGAACGCUGGCGGCAGGCCUAACACAUGCAAGUCGAACGAGUGGCGGACGGGUGAGUAAUGUCUGGGAAACUGCCUGGUGGCGGGGGAUAACUACUGGAAACGGUAGCUAAUACCGCAUACCAUCAGAGGUGCCCAGAUGGGAUUAGUUUGUUGGUGGGGUAAAGGCUCACCAAGGCGACGAUCCCUAGCUGGUCUGAGAGGAUGACCAGCCACACUGGAACUGAGACACGGCCCAGACGCCGACGGGAGGCAGCAGUGGGGAAUAUUGGACAAUGGGCGCAAGCCUGAUGCAGCCAUGCCGCGUGUAUGAAGAAGGCCGUCGGGUUGUAAAGUACUUUCAGCGGGGAGGCGUUACCUGCAGAAGAAGCACCGGCUAACUCCGUGCCAGCAGCCGCGGUAAUAC